GGUUAAGCGACUAAGCGUACACGGUGGAUGCCCUGGCAGUCAGAGGCGAUGAAGGGCGUGCUAAUCUGCGAUAAGCGCCGGUAAGGUGAUAUGAACCGUUAUAACCGGCGAUACCCGAAUGGGGAAACCCAGUGUGACUCGUCACACUAUCAUUAACUGAAUCCAUAGGUUAAUGAGGCGAACCGGGGGAACUGAAACAUCUAAGUACCCCGAGGAAAAGAAAUCAACCGAGAUUCCCCCAGUAGCGGCGAGCGAACGGGGAGGAGCCCAGAGCCUGAAUCAGCAUGUGUGUUAGUGGAAGCGUCUGGAAAGGCGCGCGAUACAGGGUGACAGCCCCGUACACAAAAGCGCAUGUGCUGUGAGCUCGAUGAGUAGGGCGGGACACGUGGUAUCCUGUCUGAAUAUGGGGGGACCAUCCUCCAAGGCUAAAUACUCCUGACUGACCGAUAGUGAACCAGUACCGUGAGGGAAAGGCGAAAAGAACCCCGGCGAGGGGAGUGAAAAAGAACCUGAAACCGUGUACGUACAAGCAGUGGGAGCCCCACCACCAAAGCAUUCUCUGGUGUUGAAGGCCCUGCAAAGCAGCAUCGCGGUGGCGGAGCGUCGUUUGCGACGCCCAACACACAAAACAAGCGGU
rnacentral:rRNA from 1 species